ACGAACGCUGGCGGCGUGCUUAACACAUGCAAGUCGAACGAACGUAGCAAUACGUUAGUGGCGGACGGGUGAGUAACGCGUGAGGAACCUGGCUCUAACAGGGGGAUAACAACUGGAAACGGUUGCUAAUACCGCAUAAGACCACAGAGCGGCAUCGCUCAGGGGUCAAAGCUCCGGCGGUUAGAGAUGGCCUCGCGUACUAUUAGCUUGUUGGUGAGGUAACGGCCCACCAAGGCGACGAUAGUUAGCCGACCUGAGAGGGUGAUCGGCCACAUUGGAACUGAGACACGGUCCAAACUCCUACGGGAGGCAGCAGUGGGGAAUAUUGGGCAAUGGAGGCAACUCUGACCCAGCAACGCCGCGUGAAGGAUGAAGGUUCUAGGAUUGUAAACUUCUGUCGCAGAGGACGAAGAAUGACGGUACUCUGUAAGAAAGCCCCGGCAAACUAUGUGCCAGCAGCCGCGGUAAUACAUAGGGGGCGAGCGUUGUCCGGAAUGACUGGGCGUAAAGGGAGUGUAGGUGGCUUGGUAAGUUAUGAGUGAAAGCCCGCGGCUUAACUGCGGAACUGCUCAUAAAACUGUCAGGCUUGAGUACAGGAGAGGUAAGCGGAAUUCCUAGUGUAGCGGUGGAAUGCGUAGAUAUUAGGAAGAACACCAGAGGCGAAGGCGGCUUACUGGACUGAAACUGACACUGAGGCUCGAAAGCGUGGGGAGCAAACAGGAUUAGAUACCCUGGUAGUCCACGCCCUAAACGAUGGAUACUAGACGAAGGAGGGUAAUACCUCCUGUGUCGUAGCAAACGCAUUAAGUAUCCCGCCUGAGGAGUACGGCCGCAAGGUUGAAACUCAAAGAAAUUGACGGGGACCCGCACAAGCAGCGGAGCAUGUGGUUUAAUUCGAAGCAACGCGAAGAACCUUACCAGGUCUUGACAUUGAUCGCCAUUCCAAGAAAUUGGAAGUUCUCCUUCGGGAGACGAGAAAACAGGUGGUGCACGGCUGUCGUCAGCUCGUGUCGUGAGAUGUUCGGUUAAGUCCGGCAACGAGCGCAACCCUUAUGGCCGGUUGCCAAUAUUCAGUUAGGAACUCCGGUCAGACUGCCGUGGUCAACACGGAGGAAGGUGGGGAUGACGUCAAAUCAUCAUGCCUCUUACGUCUUGGGCUACACACGUGCUACAAUGGAUGUUACAAAGAGCUGCGAACUCGUAAGAGCAAGCGAAUCUCAAAAAAGCAUUCCCAGUUCGGAUUGAGGGCUGCAACCCGCCCUCAUGAAGUCGGAGUUGCUAGUAAUCCCGAAUCAGAAUGUCGGGGUGAAUGCGUUCCCGGGUCUUGUACACACCGCCCGUCAAGCCAUGAGAGUUGGGGGGACCCGAAGUCAGUGUGCUAACCGCAAGGAGGCAGCUGCCUAAGGUAAAACCAAUGAUUGGGGUU
rnacentral:rRNA from 1 species